CAGCAGCAGCCGCGGGAAUACAGAGGGUGCGAGCGUUAAUCGGAUUUACUGGGCGUAAAGCGUGCGUAGGCGGCUUCUUAAGUCGGAUGUGAAAUCCCUGAGCUUAACUUAGGAAUUGCAUUCGAUACUGGGAAGCUAGAGUAUGGGAGAGGAUGGUAGAAUUCCAGGUGUAGCGGUGAAAUGCGUAGAGAUCUGGAGGAAUACCGAUGGCGAAGGCAGCCAUCUGGCCUAAUACUGACGCUGAGGUACGAAAGCAUGGGGAGCAAACAGGAUUAGAUACCCCUGUAGUCCCUGUCUCUUAUAA
rnacentral:rRNA from 1 species